AAGUCCGCCGAAAGCAUUACGUUUUUCUCCUUUGGGUUUUCUCACCGACGCCGAUGCCCACGCCGAGAAAAGCAUCCUUCUCCAUCAUCGACGCCGACGCCGCACCUUCUUCACCAUUGCCUCACCACCAACGCUCGACGGCUCCAUGUCCACCCUCACCAUCUUCGGCCGGGCUUCAUCUGGCCUAUUUUUCCCAAACCUCAUCUCCGAUCAGUAGGACGCCACCAUCAUCUUCAUCACCGGCACACUGAGGAAAGGGACUUCCCUCCCUCCGGUCAUUGCCAAUCGCCUCACCCAUGUAAGGGGCUUCCCUACUUAAUCUUCUUCUCUCCAUCUUCUUCGGCAAGCAUCAGCUGCAAUCCAUCUGCUCCAUCCACCGGAAAGGAGUGGGGCUUCCCUUCCUCAACCGGGGGCCUCUCCAUCGAUCAGCAACUUUCCAUUAUCCAUUUGGGCAACUAAUAUUAGAUUUGAAGCUCCAAUAGAUCUUCCCACAAUUCCUCUUUCAUCAGCCAUCCACAGUUCUUCCACGACUUCUCCGAUAGGUCACCUCCAAUCCGGAUAGCAAGCAGUGCAGCCUUCAUCUUGAUCAAAUCUGGAUAGACUGAGCCUUGGGGUUUCCCUUUGGUGGAAAGCAGCCUUCAUCCAAGAUCUAGUUCCAAUAGACCUUCCAAGAUCCAAGUCACAGACCUACAUGUAGUGUGGGCAAAGAAGGCAGUAAAUUGUCACAAUAUAUUGUUGCUCAGUUGGGAGCAUUGAACAGAGAUAGUAUCUGCUUCAUCUCAUACAACACUAGGUACCAUUGGAUCCUAAUUAUAAUUAAUGAAGAUAAGAAUAUGAUAUAUUUAUUAGUCUCCUUGAGUAACAGGAAUCAAUACCAUGCUCGGAAAUCUAUUGUGACCAAGUAGGUAGUAGAUUAUGCUGAUUGUGAAUGCAUUCAAUUCAUUAGAGGUUGAAAAAUUAAUUUUAUAUUUUUUACAAUGUAGUGGGGUCAAGAUAUA